AAUAUUUUCCGUUCGCAGCGUGUUGUUAUGUGGCUGUUACAAUUUUUCUAGUUUUUUGAUAGAAAAAGUGAUUUUUCUGUACACUAUUUGAGUGUAUUCUGUUCCUUAAGGCCUGUUUAGUCUCCUGAAAAUGAGCGUUAUUAGUAAUAACAUAUAAGCACAUAAAGACCACUUAAUAGAAGAGAGCCCUUAUAUAAUCCUGAUAUUUGGCUAUCAUUCCGUUUUACGAGCUGGUCUUCUAUUAUCUGAUUGAAAAUUUUUUACAAUAAAUCGAUGGAUGUAAAUUGUUCCAGGGCAGUACAUUUAUCCUUUUGAUGAAUAUUACAAACAGCGCAUGAGGAUUUAUAAGUAUAUCUAAAAUUUUAUUUCUUUUGGGUAAAUAAAUUUAUUUUUUUGAUUUUUAAUGCUCAUCGAUCAGUGCAUAUCAUCAUUUUUAAAUUUAAUUAAGUAGGAAAAAAAUCCAAUUGGUCUUUCAAUUAUAUAUUUAUGGUUCCUUAUUAUCAUAGAUAAAUUCAAACCAUCUAUUUUCAUGUUGGGCCAUAUUUUGUCUUUUGGCAACUUCUUUUUUUCUUUGGUAUAAUACCAUCUACUUAGAACUUUACUUCAUGUUGUUUUUGGUUUACUUUCAUUUCACUAUAAUAGUUUGAUUCCCAUAUUUUCAUGAUUGUGGAAAUAAUAUCACCACUUGUCAAUGCAAUAAAAUAUUCUAUUGACUGUAUUUCUAUAGGUUUUAUUUGUUACGUAAAAUAUAUAUUAUAUAUUUUCCUAUAAUAGCUUAACUCCCAUAUUUUCUUCAUUGUGGGAAUAAUAUCAUUUCUAUUCUGUAAAACAUUCCAUUGACUGUAUUUUUAUAACUAUUCUUUUAUUUGUAUUCUUUUUUUAUGGUGUCAUUCUUCUAAUACAUUUUUGCUUGUGAAAUUUCUUACCCAGAAUUUUAGUUUUGAUGGAUUCAUUUUCAUGUAAUUUUUACAGACAUAUGCCAUGAAUUGGUGAAAUUUUAAGGAUUCUGUUGGUUUGGUUUGCCUGUGUUUAAAUAUAACUUAAACUCACAAUAACACACUUAAUUGUUUCACUAAAAGGACAAAUUUUCGAUUGAUUCCUGGCGCAUUCGCCAUUUAUUAAAAAAUCUGACAUCAACAGCUGAUGUCACUUCUGGCUUUUCUAGCAAUUUGCUAAUUAAUUUUCUUGAGUAAUAUCGACUCCAGAGCAUCAUAGCUAGCCUCUCCUAUGAGGAGGAGACCCGGGUCACCCCCUAACCUUGAUGUUCGGCCAUCGAUGACCUAUGUAGCAUGCAUAGGUACCCAAGGGAGUCACCACCCUCUGGUUUACGAGCUAGGUGUUCUAACGCUAGAGGCUUCGGCCGGAUACGACCUGGCACCCAAGCUACGAGACUUCUUCGUGCACGUAUCCCGUGACGUCUCGACAGUAGAGGGGCGGGAUAUCGGACACAUUGAAGAUGAUGAGGGGGGUCCGCCUGUAGGGGGUCCCGGUGGAUGUCCGCUCGAUGGGUGAUGAGGGUGACCCGAGACGAGGCUGCUUAGCUGGGAUGGGAACUGACUGGCGAGGCUUAAUCGUCGGCCAAGGGUUAAAUCUGAUGAAGGGGGGCGAACCUAUAUGCUUUGGAGGAUUUUUUGUUCAUGUGCUUGAUGUCAAAUUUUGACUAGAUAUUUCUGAGAGGAGGUUAAGCAUAACUUUUAGUCAUUUUUCAGUUCUUAUUGACCACAUACCUCUUUAUUUUUUAAUAUCAUCUAGAACCUUCUGGCCCAUGUUGUUUUUGGCCUACCUCUUACUAGUUUUGUCUGCCAUAUUUUCCUUAUUAUUGGAAUAUUAUCAUUCAUCACUGUCCUAUUGAUUGUCUUAUUAUUUAUAUACUUGUCUAUUUUUUGUGUAAUCCUUCUAAGAGUUCUAAGACAUAAUAUUUCAACAUUUCUAUUGCCUGUAUAUAUUUAUUUUUAAUUUGUUUUUAUGUCAUUAUUUCAGUAUGUAUAUAAUUACAUAUAUAUUUUUGGUAUCAUAAUAUUAUAUUCUAAAUUGUCACUCAUCUUCAUGCAUUUUUUUUUUCAAUUCCACAUACCUCUGUAUUUAUCUCUCUCUGUGACGUUCUGUGUCAAGACUUCUCUAAGGCAUUUUAUUUCUAUUGUCUAUAUAGAGUUGUAAGUUUGGAAACAUUUUCAUAAAUUUUCAAUUCAUCACACCAGACAGAGUACAACUAAAUAUAAUAUUUCUUAAAUAUAAUUUAUUUUUCUUCUAUGUUUGUUGUAUUUCUAAAUCUUUUCUUAAAAUUUGUUUUAUUGUUUAUUUUACUGCUAUUCUUCUAAGACUCCCAAAUUUUUGAUCUCAUUCCUAUUGAUGCCUACAUAUGUAAUAAAAAAAUAAAUAAUAACAUUGGUAUGGGAUAUUGUACUGCUUUGGAACAAAGACUGCUGUAACUACCCUUUUCAAGAUGCAAUUAUAUUAACUAAAUUCAACAUUCAACAGCGGAUUGAGAAGAAAUUCAUCAUUGAAAAGGAAGCUAAAUAAAUUUAGAAUCAAGACUUACAGGGUAGCUAGUAGUCCAGAAGAGUAGCUAUAGAAGAUUUAUUUACUUCCACAUAGACGUCAGCAUGUCCGCCAACACCUUAGAUUUUAAUAUACUUUUUAUAUUUUACUAUUGUUAAUAAAAUGUAAUGUGUUUAUGAUAUAAAGAUAUAAUAUAAUCAAUGAUAGCAAAAACAUGCCUUAAUCUUUGUUUUAAGGCAUUUUUCCUUAACACGGCAGUAUAUUAUACCGUAUGAUCGAAAAAAA
rnacentral:lncRNA from 1 species